CCCUGGGUAGUUUAAACGGUUAAAGCAUUUGGCUGCUAACUGAAAGGUUUGGUGGUUUGAGUCCUCCCAGAGGUG
rnacentral:tRNA from 1 species